rnacentral:rRNA from 1 species
CGCAGCCGCGGUAAUUCCAGCUCCAAUAGCGUAUAUUAAAGUUGUUGCAGUUAAAAAGCUCGUAGUUGAAUUUCGGGAUCAAUAUGUUGGUCGUGCCUCGGUACGUACUAGCUUAUUGGUUUCUCCUUUCUGAAGAACCAUGAUGUCAUUUAUUUGGUGUCGUGGGGAAUCAGGACUGUUACUUUGAAAAAAUUAGAGUGUUUAAAGCAGGCUCACGCUUGAAUACAUUAGCAUGGAAUAAUGAAAUAGGACGUUUGAUUCUAUUUUGUUGGUUUCUAGGAUCGACGUAAUGAUUAAUAGGGAUAGUUGGGGGCAUUAGUAUUCAAUUGUCAGAGGUGAAAUUCUUGGAUUUAUUGAAGACUAACUACUGCGAAAGCAUUUGCCAAGGAUGUUUUCAUUAAUCAAGAACGAAAGUUAGGGGAUCGAAGACGAUCAGAUACCGUCGUAGUC